rnacentral:rRNA from 1 species
CCUACGGGAGGCAGCAGUGGGGAAUAUUGCACAAUGGGCGAAAGCCUGAUGCAGCGACGCCGCGUGAGGGAUGACGGCCUUCGGGUUGUAAACCUCUUUCAGCAGGGAAGAAGCGAAAGUGACGGUACCUGCAGAAGAAGCGCCGGCUAACUACGUGCCAGCAGCCGCGGUAAUACGUAGGGCGCAAGCGUUGUCCGGAAUUAUUGGGCGUAAAGAGCUCGUAGGCGGCUUGUUGCGUCGGUUGUGAAAGCCCGGGGCUUAACCCCGGGUCUGCAGUCGAUACGGGCAGGCUAGAGUGUGGUAGGGGAGAUCGGAAUUCCUGGUGUAGCGGUGAAAUGCGCAGAUAUCAGGAGGAACACCGGUGGCGAAGGCGGAUCUCUGGGCCAUUACUGACGCUGAGGAGCGAAAGCGUGGGGAGCGAACAGGAUUAGAUACCCUGGUAGUCCACGCCGUAAACGUUGGGAACUAGGUGUUGGCGACAUUCCACGUCGUCGGUGCCGCAGCUACGACAUUAACGUUACCCGUCCCGUCGGGUAGGUACGGCCGGCCGACGGACGUAAACCUACAAUAGAAGUUAGACGGCGUGAGACGUGCCGACGGACGACGACGAGGGAGGUAGG